ACGAACGCUGGCGGCGUGCCUAAUACAUGCAAGUAGAACGCUGAAGAGAGGAGCUUGCUCUUCUUGGAUGAGUUGCGAACGGGUGAGUAACGCGUAGGUAACCUGCCUGGUAGCGGGGGAUAACUAUUGGAAACGAUAGCUAAUACCGCAUAAAAUUGAUUAUUGCAUGAUAAUUAAUUGAAAGAUGCAAUUGCAUCACUACCAGAUGGACCUGCGUUGUAUUAGCUAGUUGGUGAGGUAACGGCUCACCAAGGCGACGAUACAUAGCCGACCUGAGAGGGUGAUCGGCCACACUGGGACUGAGACACGGCCCAGACUCCUACGGGAGGCAGCAGUAGGGAAUCUUCGGCAAUGGGGGGAACCCUGACCGAGCAACGCCGCGUGAGUGAAGAAGGUUUUCGGAUCGUACAGCUCUGUUGUAAGAGAAGAACGGGUGUGAGAGUGGAAAGUUCACACUGUGACGGUAUCUUACCAGAAAGGGACGGCUAACUACGUGCCAGCAGCCGCGGUAAUACGUAGGUCCCGAGCGUUGUCCGGAUUUAUUGGGCGUAAAGCGAGCGCAGGCGGUUAGAUAAGUCUGAAGUUAAAGGCUGUGGCUUAACCAUAGUAUGCUUUGGAAACUGUUUAACUUGAGUGCAGAAGGGGAGAGUGGAAUUCCAUGUGUAGCGGUGAAAUGCGUAGAUAUAUGGAGGAACACCGGUGGCGAAAGCGGCUCUCUGGUCUGUAACUGACGCUGAGGCUCGAAAAGCGUGGGGGAGCAAACAGGAUUAGAUACCCUGGUAGUUCCACGCCGUAAACGAUGAGUGCUAGGUGUUAGGCCCUUUCCGGGGCUUAGUGCCGCAGCUAACGCAUUAAGCACUCCGCCUGGGGAGUACGACCGCAAGGUUGAAACUCAAAGGAAUUGACGGGGGCCCGCACAAGCGGUGGAGCAUGUGGUUUAAUUCGAAGCGACGCGAAGAACCUUACCAGGUCUUGACAUCCCUCUGACCGCUCUAGAGAUAGAGUUUUCCUUCGGGACAGAGGUGACAGGUGGUGCAUGGUUGUCGUCAGCUCGUGUCGUGAGAUGUUGGGUUAAGUCCCGCAACGAGCGCAACCCCUAUUGUUAGUUGCCAUCAUUCAGUUGGGCACUCUAGCGAGACUGCCGGUAAUAAACCGGAGGAAGGUGGGGAUGACGUCAAAUCAUCAUGCCCCUUAUGACCUGGGCUACACACGUGCUACAAUGGCUGGUACAACGAGUCGCAAGCCGGUGACGGCAAGCUAAUCUCUGAAAGCCAGUCUCAGUUCGGAUUGUAGGCUGCAACUCGCCUACAUGAAGUCGGAAUCGCUAGUAAUCGCGGAUCAGCACGCCGCGGUGAAUACGUUCCCGGGCCUUGUACACACCGCCCGUCACACCACGAGAGUUUGUAACACCCGAAGUCGGUGAGGUAACCGUAAGGAGCCAGCCGCCUAAGGUGGGAUAGAUGA
rnacentral:rRNA from 1 species